GUAUCAGAUAUUAAGCUGAUAAGAACAGAUUAAAUUGUUUAUUGACAAUGAAUUUUUAUCUCAGUACAUAGGUGGCUACGCCAGAGGGGAAAUUUUCAUCAAAUGACGGGGCAUUUGGGAGAAGAGAUGCAAAAUCGGCUGAAAAUGCAGGAGAGUAUGUCUACACAGAGAGAGAGUUGCGAGAGGAGUUUUACUCAUCAUUUUUAAGAGUGAGAAGCUGAAGAAGUAGUAGAUCGGUGUGGGAAGUCAACGUUGUGGUACAGCCGGCGGAGAUGUGGACCCAGGAAUCACGUACUUGUGAAGAGUGGACACUUCCGUUCCACACAGCAUAGAUCAAAGGGAACAAAAAACACCAGGGCAUAGCAACAAAAGGUAGAGAUAAACAGUAGGGAUCGAUCAAGAGGGGGGGCCAAUUUUACUUCAUGGUGCUUUAUCCAGUGUACAGGUGUCAGCAGGCCAUCAAGGUAGAGCCAUCCAGUUGAAACGGACGGUCAACAGACCAUCAAGGAGGAGAAGUGGCAAUCCGGUGUGGGAAGUAGAGAU